rnacentral:lncRNA from 10 species
UGUACGCGCACGCGCGCGUGUGUGUUGGUCAGAAAACUUUCAGAGCUGUGGUUCUCAAACUUGAUCUGCAGCAGGACUCCCUGGAAGGCUUGCUAAAUCCCUUUGCUGGGCCCCACCUCCAGAGUUUCUGAUUCAGUAGGUGGACCUGGGAAUUUGCAUUUCAAAUAGGUUCCCAGGUGAUGCUGAUGCUGCAGGUCAGGGGCCACGUUUUAAAAACUACCUUUCCAGGGCAGUGAGAAGGCAAAUGUUGAGUUGGUGGCAAAUUGGAUUCCCUUCUUAUUUUUUAGGAAUGAAGCACAGGUUGUGAGCGGUCAUCCAUUCCGUAUCUUCAUUGCAGCUGAGAAAACCAAGUCCCAGCAGGGCUAAGCCAUUUGUUUAAAGUGAACUGGGAGUUUGUGCCAAGCUGGGACCCAAGCAGCGUAUCCAGCCUUCUGUUUUUCAAAGAUGAUUCCAAGUACCGCUCAAUGAGAACGUGAUGCAUGAAGGUCUCAGAUUCAUUCUUUUAUAUUCCUGUAUAUACUAUUCGUUGCUUGACAUCUCAAAGAUAUCUUCUACCCCUUCUGUCAUCUUUCUCCUAGGACUCUCCAUUCUCUUACUCUGGUCUUUGGGUCCACACAGCCCUAGGCUCUGAGUUAAGCAUCAGAACACAACAGAACACAAAGAAUGUAACAGUCCCUACCAGCACCAUUUAGUCAGGAGAAUGACACACUGCCUUGUUCCUUCAUGCAUGCAGGCUGCUCACCUUUCUUUCUUUCCUUUUUUUUUUAAGAUGGAGUCUGGCUCUCUCACCCAGGCUGGAGUGCGGUGGCAUGAUCUCAGCUCACUGCAACCUCCACCUCCCCGAUUCAAGCGAUUCUCCCUGCCUCAGCCUCCCGUGUAGCUGGGAUUACAGGUGCCUGCCACCACGCCAGGCUAAUUUUUUUUUUUUAAGUAGAGACGGGGUUUCACCAUGUUGGACAGGCUGGUCUCGAACUCCUGACCUCAGGUGAUCAGCCCGCCUCAGCCUCCCAAAGUGCUGGGGUUACAGGCAUGAGCCACUGCUCCCGGCCUGCUGCUCACCUUUCUUAUAGUUUAGGCAGAAUGCAGAUCACAGCUUAAUAAAGAGGACUUAAUUCUGCUGGCGGCAUCAAGCACACUGUUGGUACCUCAGAUAUGUUUAUUGUUUUUAUUGCUCUUUGUAUUAAUGUGAUUGUGUUUAUUACUACUAGUCCUGUAAGAACAACGUAUCUGAAUUUUCUCCCCACUCCAUUUUGCCUGGAGGGUAUUUCUUGCCUAAUUCCCUCCUCCCCUUUCAAUUAGUUUCUCUAUCUUAACCCACCCCAACCCAUUCCAGCAUCUCUAGCCAUUUCAAAACAGUUAGGUGGAGUCUGGAUCUUGUAAGGUGCUUUUUGCUACUGUCCGUUCUGUUGAUGGUGAUUUACCUCUAGCACCUUGCUUUCUUGGAAAUGUUAUGGGCCUCCACCAAGAAGGAAGCAUUUGGUAUGGAAGUGAUCAUCACAUUAAUUUAAAUGCUUGGUCGGGGGAAGGAGUGGGGAGGUGAGUAGGGAUUGUAGGUCUAUAUAAGUCACUAUGUUGCUAGGCUGUGCAGAAUAAACUGGAAGGAAUUCAGUGAAUGACAUGAAAAGACGUGGUUUCCUCUCAGUGUGCUGUAGAUACUCUACCUGUAUCAUAUAAACAGGGAUCUCUUUGACUGUGAAAGAUAUCUGGAGAGGAUUAUGCUGAGAAAAUUAUUAAGAUGUAGACAAGAAAGAAGGACUUGAUGAUGUUUUCCUCUGUUUUAAUAUAAAUCUGCUUUCCUGAUUAUAAAAUAUGUGCACUGACAAAAAUUUAGAAAAUGUAGAAAAACACAUAAAAGAAGAAAAUCAACUUAAAGUUACUACCCAGGGAUAACAUUGUUAUUAACAUAGUGGAGUGUUUUUUCUAGUCAUUUUUCUUUCUUGUUUUUGUUUCUCAUCAAUACAAAUAAACACGUUAUCGACACUGAGUAUAUGAUUCUAAUUGAAUCAGAAUUGAAAGACAUUUAAAGGGAAACAUAAUUGGGGUGAGUUUAUUCAAUAUUUUAUACAAUUUUUAAUGCAUCUGGUAAUUCAGGCAGGAGCCAGCUUCUUCAUUGAUUUAUCUGGUACUUUCAUAUUUUACAAAUUUGGGUUCAUUGUACAUACAGGUUAUCAUGCUUUUAAAUUUAACAUUUUAAUGAUUAUUUUCCCCAUAUGUAAUCUUCAAAAUUUGACUUAACUGCUGUGUACUAUCCCAUCAAAGAGAGAGAUUGUUAUUUAUUCAACCAUUCUUCUAUUGUUACAUAUUUAGAUCGUUUCCAUUUUUAUUAUCAUCCUGUAUUGCAGUUGACUAAACAUCUAGCUAUAAAUCUUUUUGUUCUGAUUAUUUCCUAAGGGUAAAUUCAUGUAAGUAGGAGUUUGGGAUCAAUGGAUAGGAUAUAACAUUUUAAAUGCUUUUAGUUGGUAUUACAAAAUUGUCCUCCAGUGGUUCCAAUGUACAUUUCCAUCUCUCAGAUUAUUUUAAUUAAAAACAACAAUGAGAUCAUCAAACACAAGGUCCCAAGUGAAGACUUGAUUGAAUUAUCUAGUCUGAAUGAUUACACUGAACAAUAAAGAAAACAACUGCC